AGGGAGCCGCUCUGCCGCGGAGAAAAAAAGGAGCGACUAUUGGAGGAAAGGAGAUAAAAAUUGUGGGGGAAAAGAGCAGGCAAACUGUACUACACUGACUGUUUUUGCAGAUGAUCAUUUAUUUGGGACUAUUUCCUAAGAACAGUGUGUGCUGCUGCUGCUGCUGCUGCUGCUACUGCUGGAGCCGCGCUUGUGUGUGCCCACUUUAUCUGCAUUGUCAGAAUUGUAGCUGUCACAAAUCGGACAGCUGAUCAGUGAAUCUCUCUUCUGAUUUGACUUUUGAAGGUCUAUUUCAGGGUGAAGAGCGUGCUCUCGCCCAAGUUACUAAAUAAAGUCGGCAGGGCUCUCGGGGGAAGGUCACAUCCCUGUCAAAACGCACAGACUGACAGCGGCGGAGUCCCGCACCACGGUGAGCACGCUCUGCUCCGUCCUUCUGUGCGCACACUGGAGUUCACCAGGCUCACAUCUUUGAUCCCUGCUCCUGAGCAAUGAAAGGAGGCCAUGCCAAAGCAGGAUCCAAGGUUCAGAAGCCACACAUGGACUCGACCCAGCUGGGCUGCACAGUUUAAAGAAAGGCGAGAGUUGUUCUGUCAUCAUCAGAUGAGAUCUACACAUGUUGUGCCACCUAAAGGUAAGAAAAUUAAUAGAAGC